rfam:Diplodia seriata DS_831_scaffold_v01_35, whole genome shotgun sequence.
GGCGAGGUGGCCGAGUGGUUAUGGCGCUAGUUUCAGGUAUUCUCUCUCGUAGAGAUACUAGAAAAGGAUUUACUAGUGGAGCAAUCCUCGUGGGUUCGAGUCCCACCCUCGUCA